AUGUCUGCCAUGUGAUGCCAACAAACCAAACUUCAGUUAGUUCAUUAAAUCAUUGAAAACUAAAAAAACCUUGUGACCCAACAAAGCUGACAGCCGUGUAGCAUGAAAUAACUUCACUCUGCAGGCCAGCUGGAGGAUCUCCAACAGGACUCGAGCAGCUUCAGUACACUGACAAUCUGCAACCACAUUUAAGGCACAAUUUGAUAUUAAUACAGAGGACAUUGUUAAAAACAAUAUUAAUCGUAACUUUGAUGCUAAGGAAGGUUAUCGGAGAUGGCUGGAUGGAUAAUACAACUGUUAAAAUGUUAAAUAAUUCUAGCAAUUACUUUGAAUCAUUUAAUUAAAUACUAAGUAAGUUUAACUUAUCAAAGUAGAAAGAAAGAAUUGCAAAUUGUACUGUUCUAUUUUCCUAUAAUUUCACUUUAAAUGCAUGUUAAAUUAAGAAAUGUACAGUUUUACCUUUUGCAGGAAAUCCAGGGUUAGACUUCCGUCGAUUUUCCAAUAAUAAUGUCAUCACCCUGAACCGCAAGAUAUCAAAUAUUACUUAUUGUACUUCAACACAAUAAAAUGUUUUUUAAAAAAACAAACUAUCACAUGAUGUCUUGGUUAAUUAAUUCAGGAUAAAUUCUUGACACAUAUUUGGACACUUUCCAAAUGUGACUGCCUUCAUUAGAGAAUCAACAUGUGAUUGAGAUACUCUGAUAUUCGACCCAUUGUCUUCAGCAUACAUUCAGAAGGUAAUUUUGUUACACCUUCACCUGUAGCUGAGCAUUAGCCAGAUGUGGGGGUUUGGGGUUGACACCUGGUUUCUUUCUUGUCAUCGCUGGUGAGCUGUCUCCCCUCAGGCUGGGGGUCCGACAAAGUGAUGGGCGGUGUAUUGAGCUCUGGGAUACAACUGAGGAGGAGUCGUCCACUAUCUCUGCAUUAAUGGCAGACAGGCAGCUGCAUUCUGAGCUGCUGAAGACGUUGAUGUUGUCUCCAGAUGAUGAUGUGCUGUCCACUAAAGAAGAAACAGUCACAGCCUCAGGGGAAGGGAAGACAGAAAGACCGGUCUCCGCCCCCUGUGAUUGAUUCCCGGGAUAACCAGCUGGGGGCAGCGAGCCACGUCCAGAGGAGGAAGAUGAUUGGCUGAUAGUCGUGGAAGCGGUGCUGCCAGAGCCAAUGGAGUGAGGUCGUGGAUACUCUAAACCCCUGUGUGAAUAAUACGCCACAGGGACUGACGACACACAUGGACGGAUGCCAUCAAUGAGAAAACAAUGGGCUGGGUCAGUUAGUUACUGUUUUGUUAAACAUAACAUUGAAAUGUAAAAGAUGUGGGAAAAAAGAAGACGAAUGAAAUCUCAAAACAUUUUAAAGGCAGGGCGCAGCUGACGGAUCGAUCACAGAUGGCAGCAUCGCUGGGUUGAAUGUCCAUAAAAGGUUUGCGGCCCAUUCCCAUGAACACCCUCUCCUGCAAACGCAGCUCUGGAACAUAUAUAAUCAAUUUGUAUUUUUAAACCUGUGCAGCACUUUGUGAACUGUGCUUAGCUCAGUACUGUUGAAAUAAGAUACAGUUAGUUGUAGCUACUACCUCUGCUGUGGGCGGCCUGAUCCCAUAGAAUCCUCUCCAGGUCGGUGGUCCAGGCUUUCUUCACCUCCAUGCUGGGGGCCUUCAGGGUGUAGGUUUCCCCACUUUUCCUCCUGCGGAACCAGAUCUCAAAACACAAGCCGCUCACACUGGAGUUGUGAGUCAUCCCAAUGUCGCUAGUCUGGAAGUGAAAACACAAAAAGAUAUAAAUAAAUGA